ACAACUGAAAUAGAUUGUCCUUCCUUUGGUAAUGCUAUGAGCAUUAUUUAAAAGGAAAAAGGCUGCAGAAAUGCAGCCU
rnacentral:misc_RNA from 1 species